CGCAGGCGGACUUGUAAGUCAGUGGUGAAAUACCUGAGCUUAACUCGGGAACUGCCAUUGAUACUAUAGGUCUUGAAUGUUGUUGAGGUUUGCGGAAUGGGUCAUGUAGCGGUGAAAUGCAUAGAUAUGACCCGGAACACCUAUUGCGAAGGCAGCAGGCUAAACAAAUAUUGACGCUGAGGCUCGAAAGCUAGGGGAGCAAACA
rnacentral:rRNA from 1 species